UACGUAGGGUGCGAGCGUUGUCCGGAAUUAUUGGGCGUAAAGAGCUUGUAGGCGGUUUGUCGCGUCUGCUGUGAAAAUCCGGGGCUCAACCCCGGACUUGCAGUGGGUACGGGCAGACUAGAGUGUGGUAGGGGAGACUGGAAUUCCUGGUGUAGCGGUGAAAUGCGCAGAUAUCAGGAGGAACACCGGUGGCGAAGGCGGAUCUCUGGGCCUUACCUGACGCUGAGGCGCGAAAGCUAGGGGAGCAAACAGG
rnacentral:rRNA from 1 species